rnacentral:pre_miRNA from 1 species
UUUUUAGUAUAAGUAUGUUCUGUACCAUAUUUGGGACAUACUUAUGCUAAAG